UAGUCCAUGCCGUAAACGAUGAUUACUCGGUAUUGGCUUCGGUCAGUGCCCAAGCGAAAGUGAUAAGUAAUCCACCUGGGGAGUACGCCCGCAAGGGUGAAACUCAAAGGAAUUGACGGGGGCCCGCACAAGCGGUGGAGCAUGUGGUUUAAUUCGAUGAUACGCGAGGAACCUUACCAGGGCUUAAAUGUAGUAUGACCGGUCUGGAAACAGGCCUUCCCUUCGGGGCAGAUUACAAGGUGCUGCAUGGUUGUCGUCAGCUCGUGCCGUGAGGUGUUAGGUUAAGUCCUGCAACGAGCGCAACCCCUAUUCUUAGUUGCCAGCGGUUCGGCCGGGGACUCUAAGAAGACUGCCAGCGCAAGCUGAGAGGAAGGUGGGGAUGAC
rnacentral:rRNA from 1 species